UUGGUGCUUGCAUCAUGAUUUACAUUUGAGUGAGUGGCGAACUGGUGAGUAACACGUGGGAAACCUGCCCAGAAGCGGGGGAUAACACCUGGAAACAGAUGCUAAUACCGCAUAACAACUUGGACCGCAUGGUCCGAGCUUGAAAGAUGGCUUCGGCUAUCACUUUUGGAUGGUCCCGCGGCGUAUUAGCUAGAUGGUGGGGUAACGGCUCACCAUGGCAAUGAUACGUAGCCGACCUGAGAGGGUAAUCGGCCACAUUGGGACUGAGACACGGCCCAAACUCCUACGGGAGGCAGCAGUAGGGAAUCUUCCACAAUGGACGAAAGUCUGAUGGAGCAACGCCG
rnacentral:rRNA from 2 species